CAAGCGGUGGAGCAUGUGGUUUAAUUCGAUGCAACGCGAAGAACCUUACCUACUCUUGACAUCCAGCGAACUUAGCAGAGAUGCUUUGGUGCCUUCGGGAACGCUGAGACAGGUGCUGCAUGGCUGUCGUCAGCUCGUGUUGUGAAAUGUUGGGUUAAGUCCCGCAACGAGCGCAACCCUUAUCCUUUGUUGCCAGCGAUACGGUCGGGGACUCAAAGGAGACUGCCGGUGAUAAACCGGAGGAAGGUGGGGAUGACGUCAAGUCAUCAUGGCCCUUACGAGUAGGGCUACACACGUGCUACAAUGGCGCAUACAAAGAGAAGCGACCUCGCGAGAGCAAGCGGACCUCAGAAAGUGCGUCGUAGUCCGGAUCGGAGUCUGCAACUCGACUCCGUGAGGUCGGAAUCGCUAGUAAUCGUGGAUCAGAAUGCCACGGUGAAUACGUUCCCGGGCCUUGUACACACC
rnacentral:rRNA from 1 species